GGGGUCCUACGGGAGGCAGCAGUGGGGAAUAUUGCACAAUGGGGGAAACCCUGAUGCAGCGACGCCGCGUGAGCGAUGAAGUAUUUCGGUAUGUAAAGCUCUAUCAGCAGGGAAGAAAAUGACGGUACCUGACUAAGAAGCCCCGGCUAACUACGUGCCAGCAGCCGCGGUAAUACGUAGGGGGCAAGCGUUAUCCGGAAUUACUGGGUGUAAAGGGAGCGUAGACGGUUAAGUAAGUCUGGAGUGAAAGGCCGGGGCUCAACCCCGGGACUGCUCUGGAAACUAUUUAACUUGAGUGCAGGAGG
rnacentral:rRNA from 1 species